rnacentral:rRNA from 1 species
GAUGAACGCUGGCGGCGUGCCUAAUACAUGCAAGUCGAGCGAACGGACGAGAAGCUUGCUUCUCUGAUGUUAGCGGCGGACGGGUGAGUAACACGUGGAUAACCUACCUAUAAGACUGGGAUAACUUCGGGAAACCGGAGCUAAUACCGGAUAAUAUUUUGAACCGCAUGGUUCAAAAGUGAAAGACGGUCUUGCUGUCACUUAUAGAUGGAUCCGCGCUGCAUUAGCUAGUUGGUAAGGUAACGGCUUACCAAGGCAACGAUGCAUAGCCGACCUGAGAGGGUGAUCGGCCACACUGGAACUGAGACACGGUCCAGACUCCUACGGGAGGCAGCAGUAGGGAAUCUUCCGCAAUGGGCGAAAGCCUGACGGAGCAACGCCGCGUGAGUGAUGAAGGUCUUCGGAUCGUAAAACUCUGUUAUUAGGGAAGAACAUAUGUGUAAGUAACUGUGCACAUCUUGACGGUACCUAAUCAGAAAGCCACGGCUAACUACGUGCCAGCAGCCGCGGUAAUACGUAGGUGGCAAGCGUUAUCCGGAAUUAUUGGGCGUAAAGCGCGCGUAGGCGGUUUUUUAAGUCUGAUGUGAAAGCCCACGGCUCAACCGUGGAGGGUCAUUGGAAACUGGAAAACUUGAGUGCAGAAGAGGAAAGUGGAAUUCCAUGUGUAGCGGUGAAAUGCGCAGAGAUAUGGAGGAACACCAGUGGCGAAGGCGACUUUCUGGUCUGUAACUGACGCUGAUGUGCGAAAGCGUGGGGAUCAACCAGGAUUAGAUACCCUGGUAGUCCACGCCGUAAACGAUGAGUGCUAAGUGUUAGGGGGUUUCCGCCCCUUAGUGCUGCAGCUAACGCAUUAAGCACUCCGCCUGGGGAGUACGACCGCAAGGUUGAAACUCAAAGGAAUUGACGGGGACCCGCACAAGCGGUGGAGCAUGUGGUUUAAUUCGAAGCAACGCGAAGAACCUUACCAAAUCUUGACAUCCUUUGACAACUCUAGAGAUAGAGCCUUCCCCUUCGGGGGACAAAGUGACAGGUGGUGCAUGGUUGUCGUCAGCUCGUGUCGUGAGAUGUUGGGUUAAGUCCCGCAACGAGCGCAACCCUUAAGCUUAGUUGCCAUCAUUAAGUUGGGCACUCUAAGUUGACUGCCGGUGACAAACCGGAGGAAGGUGGGGAUGACGUCAAAUCAUCAUGCCCCUUAUGAUUUGGGCUACACACGUGCUACAAUGGACAAUACAAAGGGCAGCGAAACCGCGAGGUCAAGCAAAUCCCAUAAAGUUGUUCUCAGUUCGGAUUGUAGUCUGCAACUCGACUACAUGAAGCUGGAAUCGCUAGUAAUCGUAGAUCAGCAUGCUACGGUGAAUACGUUCCCGGGUCU